AAUUAAAUGUUUAAUGGUAUGGUGUUUUAACAUAUGGGAAUAAACAAGUGGUGCUAUUGAUAAAUGAUAAGGUUGCAGUAAACAACAUAUGGGUGGUCACAAUCGUUUGUACUUGCUCCAAGGUUACAUACAAGCUGACUACAAUCGCAAAGGAAUGCGGCGGAGAUAAUCCAGUCCGGUUCACACCAGCCUGAACUACUUCAACCCUCCAGGUCGUUUUAAUACGAGCCGGUUUUCACCAACCAAUAUUAAAACCACCGAUUUCUGCAGAACCUUGUAAACAAAAAUAGAAACGAGAAGUGACGUUUGGGAGCUUAGUACAAUCGUGAAGCGAAUGAGGAUCAGCCCGUCUCCUCUGGUGAAUUCGCCUUUUAUUUCCACCUAGACCUGGAGGUGGAAUUGGAAGGGCUGCCUGCGUACAUAGAAUGUGCGGUAACUGAUAUGGGGAUUAAACACUAGCACCACCUGUUGGUCCCUUACAAGGAUUUAUAACGCUCAAUAAACUGUACCAUGAACUCUUUUUCUUUCUUUGACAUUAUUAUCACAAACAAAACACAAAAUAACGUACAACACAGUCUAUUAAAGCCACGUGCACGUCGGAACAACAAUUCUGUUUACUAUUACUCACCCUCUACGCAUGCGUCGAAUUGGUGUGUCGUUUACACGUUCAUGCAUUUGCACCAACCACAUAAAAAUUA